rnacentral:rRNA from 1 species
UACGGAGGGUGCAAGCGUUAUCCGGAUUCACUGGGUUUAAAGGGUGCGUAGGUGGGUUGGUAAGUCAGUGGUGAAAUCUCCGUGCUUAACAUGGAAACUGCCAUUGAUACUACUGGUCUUGAAUUAUCUGGAGGUCAGCGGAAUAUGUCAUGUAGCGGUGAAAUGCUUAGAUAUGACAUAGAACACCAAUUGCGAAGGCAGCUGGCUACAGGUAAAUUGACACUGAGGCACGAAAGCGUGGGGAUCAAACAGG